ensembl:lncRNA
UAAAGUGGAGCUACUCACAGCGAAAGAUAACAAGACCAAAACUCGGAAGCAGUGGUGGGGUGCGCGUGACUCACGUAUAGACAUGUAAGAGACAGCACGAGAGUCUGAAGGCGCUGGCCCAGGGCCUCCUGGGGGCAGAGCGCACUCCUGCCCGGGCUGUCGUUCGGAGCUGCGGCCGGCAAGGCCUCCUGAGCCCAGAGAGAGAGAUCCUGCAGCCCGGCCUGCGAGGCCGAGACGGCGCCGCGUGGCUCUGGAGACCUGCCUCUGAACCGGCAGGCGGGCCCGCCCCCGGCCCUGGAGCCGUGACUAACACUUGUCGCACCUGGCACGUGCCCGCCUUUGUCUGCCCGGCACGGGCCCACUAUCAGGUUUCCCGCAGCCGGCCGCGCGGGCGUCGCUGUGGAAUGCCGGCACCGCUGAUGCUCUGCGUGGCGCUCCCCGUGCCUGCUCGGCCUUCAGAAUUAAGUUUCCCCCUCCGGCCCGAGUGGUUUGCCGUCGUCCUUGGUGUGUGCCUGUUUCCUGGCUCUGGGUUCCUCCUCCCUGGGGCGUACAGGGUGCUGAGCUGGGCAGAUGAGCAGGCCACUGCCCCGGGUCCUGGAGGCGGAAAUGGAUUGGCGGGCUCAGCCCUGCCCCGGGGGCAGGGGCGGGGAGGGACAGGCCAUCCCUCUGAGUGGAGCGUGGCCACUGCCCUGGGCACCGGCAGGAGAGGCGGGUCCAGGGAGGAUCGUAGGUGGGGAGUCUGCGCCGAGUGCCGUCGCCGAAGCACUCGGGAGGCACUCUGGGCAGCGGCUGUAGGGGCCGGGCCAUCCGCACCAGACGGUGUUGGCCAGGAAGAGGGUGGACCCUUGCAUGUCCCAGAGGACCUGGCCGGGAGCAGCAGAACUGCGAGAGACCCCAUGGAGUGAAGCCCCCAGGCUCAGGGGAGUGUGGACCCCUGCCCGCCAGCCCUGGCGCCUUCCUCGGGCCGCUGUGGGAGAAGACCCCGGAGCCUGUGGUCUGCAGCCUCACCCUUGGCAGGGCCGGCACUGGGCGAGGGACAGCAGUGUCGCCCAGCACAGGGAGAGAACGCUCGGGAGAAACGGCAGUCGCUCGUUUCCGCCGCUGGCUUUCCUUGUUUUUAAGACGUGCGUAGGAUUCCCCGACGGGGGCAGAGGGCUGAUAAGUGCGGAGACGGGAGAGACUGAGGCCACUGCGGGAGGCCGUGAGCAUCGGGUGCUGUUGCUGGAACGCACACGCGGGGCCCCGUGCCCACCCUGGCCUCCGGUGGCUGCACCCCCCACGGCUGGCGCGGCGUUGGCCCCGGGUCUGUCACCCCAGCUGUCGCUGUGCAUCAGCUGGUGCCCGGCCGGCUGAAUGCCCUUGGUGGGGGCGUGGUCCUCACGGAGCAUCAGGUGGAGCCCGCGCCCCAGGCCCACGGCGCUGGCGCUGCCGCUCGGCCUCGCGUCCCCGACCCCAGGGCCUUUGCCUGCGCCCCCCUCCUCGGUCCUGCUCGGCUGUUCGGCUCAGAGGCCAUCUCCCAGGAGAGGCCACCCGGGGGUCCUCAAUAAAGGCGCCCUGGCCCCCCGAUGCUGUGUGGGG